UAGGGAAUCUUCCGCAAUGGGCGAAAGCCUGACGGAGCAACGCCGCGUGAGUGAUGAAGGUCUUCGGAUCGUAAAACUCUGUUAUUAGGGAAGAACAAAUGUGUAAGUAACUAUGCACGUCCUGACGGUACCUAAUCAGAAAGCCACGGCUAACUACGUGCCAGCAGCCGCGGUAAUACGUAGGUGGCAAGCGUUAUCCGGAAUUAUUGGGCGUAAAGCGCGCGUAGGCGGUUUUUUAAGUCUGAUGUGAAAGCCUACGGCUCAACCGUGGAGGGUCAUUGGAAACUGGAAAACUUGAGUGCAGAAGAGGAAAGUGGAAUUCCAUGUGUAGCGGUGAAAUGCGCAGAGAUGUGGAGGAACACCAGUGGCGAAGGCGACUUUCUGGUCUGUAACUGACGCUGAUGUGCGAAAGCGUGGGGAUCAAACAGG
rnacentral:rRNA from 1 species